CACUUGGUACUCCUGGAGACCCAAAGGAAUUCGGCCACUUUUACUCUUCGAGGGAACAGCUGGGAGAAUGGCCCUGACGCUUAAGGAGAUAUCAUCUUAGAGGACCUCUUUAAGAGUCAUCAAAGUCUGGUGACAAGACAAAAGCCGAGAUGAGUGGUGAUGCCUUGGGAUGCAGGAUUAAAUGGCGCAACAGGAUUGCACAGCUAUAAUACUCAUAAUCUUUCAUCAUCUGGAAUGAUCCACACAAAAUACUUGCAGAAAAUUUAAGAUGGAAGAGACAACUUUCAACUGAGAGAUCAUGCAAGGUUUGUGGAAGAAAAGGCACUUCUGCUGAUCCUUGAAGGAAGAAGAAAGAUUUCAUAAAGUACCAUUUUCCAGUCAUAAGGCAUGGGCUGGGCUAAUGUAUAGAAAUGGUCCUAAAUGAUUCCAUUUUAGUUCAGAGUGAGAUCAGGGAAUAGCUAACAGUUCAUUUUGAAUGGAAUAUAAAGUUGCAAAGGUAAUUAGUGGGGCAUCAAUCUGGAAAAACAAGUUGGGGACAGAUUUUAGAGAACUUCAUAAUUGUAGAGAUCCUCAAAUGUCAGAUUAGGGAAUAUGUACUUUAUCCCACAACUAGGGAUGUUCCAGUAGAUGUUUAAUAAUCCACUCUCCAGAAAAAUAAAAAAGGGGAAAGGGAUGCAUAUAUAUCACAUUACAUUUAAUUUGCAUUAUUAACAUUUUCUCCAUCACUCUCUUAAGCCCAGUCAAUCAAUGAAAUAAUAAAUCAAGCUAUGAUCUAUAGUGGGUUUUUUUUUCAAAUUUUGUGUGGGGUCAGUUAAAUGCUCACACUGAAAAUUUAACAAUUGGCUCUUGGGAACCACAGGCUGGUUCAAGAUUUCUCUACCACAUUCCUAGUUAUAGGUUAUAGAUACAAUGGAAAGUUCUGGAGCAGUGAAGUUAUGAUUGACCUGAAUCAUAUUAGGACAACUAUUUUGGAAGAUGUAGAAGUGAUGAUUUGAGGAGAGAGAAGAUUGGAUGCAGAGUUUCCAGUUAAGAAGCUAUUAAAUAUACUUUCAAAAAGAUUAAUAAUAUAAAGAAAUAUACUGGGUGCCCCAAAUAGACAUUGGAUUUUUAAAAUAUUAAAGCUCAGUACUAAUUGAAUUAAUAUAGUUUUAUUAACUCUUAAAAGGCAUUUUUGGAGCACCCUGUUUAGGUGCUAAAUUUUAACAGUAUAGAAUUUUAGAAGAGGUAGAAGUUAUAGAAUCAUUGAUUUCAAACUCGAAGGAACUUUAAAAGUCAUCUAGUGCAAUUCACUCCUUUUGUAGAUGAGAACAUUGGGACCUAGAAAAAUAAUAGGUUUCAUCUAAAGUUGCUUCUAGUGAGUGACAAAGCCAGGAUUCAAAACAAGAUUUAAUAUCAUCAAAUCCAGCUCUCUUACCACUGUGCUAUGCUAAUCACUCCCCUUGUCUUGAAAGAGCAGAAAGAGAUCUUGGAAAAAAGGAUUCAGGUAAAUUUGAAACAUUAAAUGAAGGGGGAAGAAUAUGGGGCUAUUGCCCCCCCAUUCAGAAUUACUAAGGCCUUCUUAAUCAUCAUACUCAAUGUCCUUGUCUAUCUUUGCUUCCUCAGCUUCUCUGUAGUCUCUGACAUUUUUGAGCAUUACCUGUUUCUUAAAACUCUCUUUCCUUGGUUUCUCUAGAAAUGCAUCAUUUUGGUUCUCCCACCUCUAAGAUUCCUCUUUCUUUGUCUCAUUUUCUGGUUCUUUUCCCUCUGUCUAUUCCUAAAAGAGGGAAUUCUUCAAAAAGUUUCUCUCCAGAGUCUUUGACUGUUCUCAUUUGUUUCUAGGUACAAUCUCCCUUCAGGAUCUUGUAAGUUAUGUAGCUUUAAUUUUCCCUUUUAUGUGAAUUACUCAUAAAUCUACAUUCAAGUCCUGACCUCUUUCCUAACCUCUAUAUCCACAUUUCCAACUUGCUGCUAGACAGUUCCAUCCAGAAUUCUCUUAACAUCUCAAACUCAAGUUGUCCAUAUCCAAAUCCCACAGUUCCUUUUUGAAAUCAGCUCCUAUUCUGACUCUGUCUGUUCAUAGCCUCAGUUCUUUAUUUUAAAACUAUUAGUUUGUUUUUUACUUUAAAGUUCCAAGGUAUCUCCUUUCCUCCCUCCUCUCCUACACUAGAGAAGGCAGUAUUUGACACAAAGAUAUAUGUAUAUAUAAAACUUGCUUAUUUCUAUUUAUCAUUUCUUUUUCUAGAGGUGGACCAAGGACUAGCUCAAAUCUACCUUCAACAUACAUUCUUUUUCUCUGAUGCUCUGAAUUGAGAGAUGAAUUCUCCUUCACCAUACUUCAUAUAUUUUUUAUGGUACUUACCACUUCCCCCUCGCAUUAUAGGUGUGUAUGUUGCCAUUUUAGUACAGAUCUUACCCCUUCUUUCGACUACAUUAUAAGCUUUUUGAGAGGCAAUAUCAUGUCUUGCUUGUCUUUUUAUAUGGCAAGGACUUAGUCUAGUGCCCAGCAUAUUGUUGGCAUUUUUAAACUGUUCAAUUGAAUUGCGAUGAGCAGAAUUCUAGAGUUAAUUCACACGUAGAGAAGUUAAGUAGUUACUAGAUAGAGAAGACUUUUAUUUUUUAAAAUAAAUUCCGAUUGAUGGCUUUUAUUUUAAGAUCCCCUAUAUUUCCCAAAAUAUCUCUCCUCUUCUAAGCUAAAAAUCUUUUUUUUCCUGAGUUUUCAGAGUUUUUAACUCAGAAUUUUUUUCCAAAUUUCAGUUUUUAACUCUGAAAUUUUUACCAGUGUAAUAAGUAUAAUCAGAGGCACCCCACCUGUUUCCCUCUCUGAUUCUUGGUAAAGUAUACUCCAUGGUUGAAGGCUAGAAUUGGACCCCUUGUUUUAUCAUGAUAAAGAAUAAAAAAAAGAGGAGAAAAAAGAUUCCACAAAGCUAACAAAAACAUUAAAAGAGUUUGUUACUCUAUGUAGUGUUUCAUACCCACAGUCCUCCAGUUCUGGAAAAGUGUCAGGAUGGGUGAGAGAGAUGCCUGGAAGACCUAAUUUCACAGCCAAAGGUACCUUUGUCUCAUUUUCUGAUGGUAUGUCAGGUGGGAUAGAACCGGUGGUGUGUUGCCAACUUCAAAGUGAAGAGCUUGCUGAUUUUUCUCUCCCUCCUCCUUUUUCCUUCCUCUGAACCAGCAAGAAAUAGUAAGGAACCAGGUGACCCAAAGGGGGAAAAAAGAUCCCUGCAAAAGGAUUCAGAGAUUGCAUCCAGAACAAAAUUUUUCUCACAUAGAAUGUGGAACCAUAUAGCACAGUUUAGUUUGGUCAGAGAGGGUAUGAAUGUAAUUGUAGGGAUAACUUAAGAAGGUAUUCUCAAAUCCAAAAUCAAGGAUAACUUUUCUAAAGAGGAAAAAAUUUAGGUACCUGAGGAGAGUCUAAGAGGAGAGGCUUGUUGACAUUGCAGGAAUCAUAGCAUUAGAUCAGGAGUUUUAACUUUUUUUUGUCAUAGACCUCUUAGGCAGACUAGUGAAGCCCACGUAUGCCUUCUCAGAACAACGCUUUUAAGUUGUUAGUGGAAAUGUUAAAUUUCAGUUAGAGGCUACCAAAAAAUGAAGUCUUUUGGACCCCAUGAAAUCUAUCCCAGACUUUAGGUUAAGAAGCUCCAUAUUAGGUAAGUUUUGCAGCAAAUGCAUUACUCAAUCCUGUUGCUCAUAUGUUUUUUGAGUACAGAGUUUUUGAUUCUGAGUUUUAACCUCUAUAAUAGGAACAAUCAGAGGAUGCCUCUCUCCUUUCCCAUUCUGGGUCUAGUGCACCCUCUGGUUGUAGGCUAGAACUGUACCAAUUCCAGUUCCAUAUGUGUUAGGCUGUUCUUGAAUCUGGACACUUUCUAGUAACACCCAGUGUCAUAUAUGCUGUCCUUGGAGCUUGGCCCCUUUUACUGAACAUAUUUGCCCAGAUCUUGUCCUACAAGCCAUGUGGGUCCAAUGUAGGAGAAGUCCUGAGAUCUGGAGUUGCCAAGAGUGGCUAUCUAGGGAUCAUCAGGGUACCUCACUCAGUGCAGGCUACACUGUAGGAGAUAACGACUACUACAGCAUUUCUCAGAGAAGAUGACCACCUAAAACUGAAUAAGUCCAUCCUGUGGACUGGUUUGCCAAAGGACAUUGGCUUUAAGAGAUUGACAUUGAAAGAGAUGACAGUGACAUGCCUAUUCAACAAGAUAUCCUAAGGGCUUCGUGUCUUUAAUAUUUUGUUUCAGUUCCAUUGGAAAGCAUAAAAGGCAUUAUCCAUCAGUGUAUAAUUCUUUGUUUUCUUCAAUGAACACUUACAAGGCUUUUUGUUUUAAGUAUCUCUCUGUCUGUCUGUCUGUCUGUCUGUCUGUCUCUCUCUCUCUUUCUCUCUCAUACUUCUACUGUCCUUUUGGGAAUCCUAGAAGUGAGCCAAACAUUAGCUUUUAAAUGAUUCUUUCUAGUAUUUUGGGGUGGGGCAUGAAGAACCAGAGAGUUUGAGAAAUAGAGCCUAAUCUUUCACCUUAGGGGUCACGCUUCUCCCAGACUGAACUUGACCUGAGUGAGGAUUGAGAACUAAGGGGCACUUUAUAGUGAGAGAAAUAGUGCUCCUGCACCCCUGGGUGUAGCGGUGAUUCUGUAGGUUACACCAGAAUAAUCAAAUAUAUUUCUUCCUUAAUCUCUGAGUCCAAGUGAACUCUGUAUGGAUUCGAUCUGGAAAGUUGCAUUCAGAUUUCUCCUUUUCUAAAAUAGUUCUAAAAUAGUGUGUCUGCUUAUUGUUUAGUUGUAACUUAAGUUUUCAUGGUGACCUGACUUGACAUUUAAGGAAUGUUGGCACUGUAAGUAAAGCCACUUUUAAAACAUUUCCUGAAAAAGAAGAAAAGAAAUAUGGAUAGGCCAGUUACAGGAAAAAUUUAUGAACUAUGGGGUGGGAGGGCAGAGGGCAGGCAGAGUAUGAAAUGUGGAAUCAGUCAGAAAUAAUUUUGAGUCCAAAACUGAAUAAAACCAUCACCCAUUAGGGUCUUUAGAGCUUCAGCAUAGUGUCUUGUCAGGCACCACUGGGCUAUGGCCACAAAGGGGACACUUUUGUCAUUUUCUGCCCUUCUAGUUUUCCCUGUGGCCACUGUGCUGGGCUUGCCUGUCUUCUUAACUGAUGAACGAGGCUCCCCCAGCCUCUGAUUCCUGACCCCCACACCUUAGAUUCUUGCAGAACAGUUGUAUUUGAGGUUCUAGUCUAAGAGAUCUCCUUUAGCUGUGGAAGGUGACGUAAGAGAUUCUCAGAGGAUAAACAUAAAAAAAGAUAGAAAACAAGUAGUCUGUAAUCCAACCCAGAAAAGGCAAUGCUAAGCAAUGAACUCUCAGAGAAUGAUUUCACUGUCAAGAGACUGGGAUUCAAGCCUCACUAAUACAUUUACAAGACUACUCAUUAGCAAUUUUAUAUUUAUACAUACUCUA